GACGAACGCUGGCGGCGUGCUUAACACAUGCAAGUCGAACGGAAAGGCCCCUUUGGGGGUCCUCGAGUGGCGAACGGGUGAGUAACACGUGAGUAACCUGCCCUUGACUUCGGGAUAACUUCAGGAAACUGGGGCUAAUACCGGAUAGGAAUCCUUGCUGCAUGGUGGGGGUUGGAAAGCUUCGGCGGUUUUGGAUGGACUCGCGGCUUAUCAGCUUGUUGGUGGGGUAGUGGCUUACCAAGGCUUUGACGGGUAGCCGGCCUGAGAGGGCGACCGGCGACAUUGGGACUGAGAUGCGGCCCAGGCUCCUACGGGAGGGAGCAGUGGGGAAUAUUGCACGAUGGGCGGAGGCCUGAUGCAGCAGCGCCGCGGGCGGGAAGACGGUCUUCGGGUUGUAAACCGCUUUCAGCAGGGGCGAAGCUUGUGGUGACGGUACCUGCAGAAGAAGCACCGGCUAACUACGUG
rnacentral:rRNA from 1 species